rnacentral:rRNA from 1 species
CGAGCGUUAAUCGGAAUUACUGGGCGUAAAGCGCAUGCAGGUGGUUUGUUAAGUCAGAUGUGAAAGCCCGGGGCUCAACCUCGGAAUUGCAUUUGAAACUGGCAGACUAGAGUACUGUAGAGGGGGGUAGAAUUUCAGGUGUAGCGGUGAAAUGCGUAGAGAUCUGAAGGAAUACCGGUGGCGAAGGCGGCCCCCUGGACAGAUACUGACACUCAGAUGCGAAAGCGUGGGGAGCAAACAGGAUUAGA